AGCAGCCGCGGUAAUUCCAGCUCCAAUAGCGUAUAUUAAAGUUGUUGCAGUUAAAAAGCUCGUAGUUGAAUUUCGAGACCGGCUUACUGGUCGUGCUAUUGUGCGUACUGGUAUAAUCGGUUUCUCCUUUCUGACGAACUAUAAUGCCAUUAAUUUGGUGUUAUAGGGAAUCAGGACUGUUACUUUGAAAAAAUUAGAGUGUUUAAAGCAGGCUCACGCUUGAAUACAUUAGCAUGGAAUAACGGAAUAGGACGUUUGAUUCUAUUUUGUUGGUUUCUAGGAUCGACGUAAUGAUUAAUAGGGAUAGUUGGGGGCAUUAGUAUUCAAUUGUCAGAGGUGAAAUUCUUGGAUUUAUUGAAGACUAACUACUGCGAAAGCAUUUGCCAAGGAUGUUUUCAUUAAUCAAGAACGAAAGUUAGGGGAUCGAAGACGAUCAGAUACCGUCGUAGUCUUAACCAUAAACUAUGCGACUAGGAUCGGAUGAUGUUAAUUUUUAAUGACUCAUUCGGCGCCUUACGGG
rnacentral:rRNA from 1 species